rnacentral:rRNA from 1 species
UGCCAGCAGCCGCGGUAACACGGGGGGCGCAAGCGUUAUUCGGAAUUAUUGGGCGUAAAGGGCGCGCAGGCGGUCUUGUCCGCCAGGUGUGAAAGCUCGGGGCUCAACCCCGGAAGUGCACUUGAAACAGCAAGACUUGAAUACGGGAGAGGAGAGAGGAAUUCCUGGUGUAGAGGUGAAAUUCGUAGAUAUCAGGAGGAACACCAGUGGCGAAAGCGGCUUCCUGGCAUGACACUGACGCUCAUGGACGAAAGCGUGGGGAGCAAACAGGAUUAGAUA